AUUGAACGCUGGCGGCAGGCCUAACACAUGCAAGUCGAACGAGUGGCGGACGGGUGAGUAAUGUCUGGGAAACUGCCCGAUGGAGGGGGAUAACUACUGGAAACGGUAGCUAAUACCGCAUACCCUCGGAUGUGCCCAGAUUGGAUUAGCUAGUAGGUGGGGUAACGGAUAACCUAGGCGACGAUCCCUAGCUGGUCUGACAGGAUGAGCAGCCACACGGGAACGGUGAAACGGUCCAGACUCCUACGGGAGGCAGCAGUGGGGAAUAUUGCACAAUGGGCGAAAGCCUGAUGCAGCCAUGCCGCGUGUAUGAAGAAGGCCUUCGGGUUGUAAAGUACUGUCAGCGAGGAGGCGUUACUCGCAGAAGAAGCAUCGGCUAACUCCGUGCCAGCAGCCGCGGUAAUAC
rnacentral:rRNA from 1 species